AUGAACGCUAGCUACAGGCUUAACACAUGCAAGUCGAGGGGCAGCAUGAACUUAGCUUGCUAAGUUUGAUGGCGACCGGCGCACGGGUGAGUAACACGUAUCCAACCUGCCGAUGACUCGGGGAUAGCCUUUCGAAAGAAAGAUUAAUACCCGAUGGCAUAGUUCUUCCGCAUGGUAGAACUAUUAAAGAAUUUCGGUCAUCGAUGGGGAUGCGUUCCAUUAGGUUGUUGGCGGGGUAACGGCCCACCAAGCCUUCGAUGGAUAGGGGUUCUGAGAGGAAGGUCCCCCACAUUGGAACUGAGACACGGUCCAAACUCCUACGGGAGGCAGCAGUGAGGAAUAUUGGUCAAUGGACGAGAGUCUGAACCAGCCAAGUAGCGUGAAGGAUGACUGCCCUAUGGGUUGUAAACUUCUUUUAUACGGGAAUAAAGUGAGGCACGUGUGCCUUUUUGUAUGUACCGUAUGAAUAAGGAUCGGCUAACUCCGUGCCAGCAGCCGCGGUAAUACGGAGGAUCCGAGCGUUAUCCGGAUUUAUUGGGUUUAAAGGGAGCGUAGGCGGACGCUUAAGUCAGUUGUGAAAGUUUGCGGCUCAACCGUAAAAUUGCAGUUGAUACUGGGUGUCUUGAGUACAGUAGAGGCAGGCGGAAUUCGUGGUGUAGCGGUGAAAUGCUUAGAUAUCACGAAGAACUCCGAUUGCGAAGGCAGCCUGCUGGACUGUAACUGACGCUGAUGCUCGAAAGUGUGGGUAUCAAACAGGAUUAGAUACCCUGGUAGUCCACACAGUAAACGAUGAAUACUCGCUGUUUGCGAUAUACAGUAAGCGGCCAAGCGAAAGCGUUAAGUAUUCCACCUGGGGAGUACGCCGGCAACGGUGAAACUCAAAGGAAUUGACGGGGGCCCGCACAAGCGGUGGAGCAUGUGGUUUAAUUCGAAGCAACGCGAAGAACCUUACCAAAUCUUGACAUCCUCUGAUCCCUCUAGAGAUAGAGGUUUCCCCUUCGGGGGACAGAGUGACAGGUGGUGCAUGGUUGUCGUCAGCUCGUGUCGUGAGAUGUUGGGUUAAGUCCCGCAACGAGCGCAACCCUUAAGCUUAGUUGCCAUCAUUAAGUUGGGCACUCUAAGUUGACUGCCGGUGACAAACCGGAGGAAGGUGGGGAUGACGUCAAAUCAGCACGGCCCUUACGUCCGGGGCUACACACGUGUUACAAUGGGGGGUACAGAAGGCAGCUACACGGCGACGUGAUGCUAAUCCCGAAAGCCUCUCUCAGUUCGGAUUGGAGUCUGCAACCCGACUCCAUGAAGCUGGAUUCGCUAGUAAUCGCGCAUCAGCCACGGCGCGGUGAAUACGUUCCCGGGCCUUGUACACACCGCCCGUCAAGCCAUGAAAGCCGGGGGUACCUGAAGUGCGUAACCGCAAGGAGCGCCCUAGGGUAAAACUGGUGAUUGGGGCU
rnacentral:rRNA from 1 species